rnacentral:lncRNA from 1 species
GGCACCCACUUUGAGGCUUGAUUUAGCAGGUGGACACUCCACAAAAACUCUCCAAUGACCUCUUGCCAAGUGGCCUUCAGUUUAAGAUCCAUAAGUCAACGUUUGACCGAUGUCCUAAAACGAAAAUGGCAGGUGACAGAAAUUGACAGGUGUUGCCUUAAUUUCAUCUCAUGAAUUAAGAUAAAAUUUUUUUUGACCUGGACUG